UACGUAGGGGGCAAGCGUUGUCCGGAAUCACUGGGCGUAAAGCGCACGUAGGCGGAUUGUUAAGUCAGGGGUGAAAUCCUGGAGCUCAACUCCAGAACUGCCCUUGAUACUGAGGAGCUCGAGUCCGGAAGAGGCGAGUGGAAUUCCUGGUGUAGCGGUGAAAUGCGUAGAUAUCGAGAGGAACACCUGCGGCGAAGGCGGGUUGCUGGGCCGACACUGACGCUGAGGCGACGGAAAGCCAGGGGAGCGAACGGG
rnacentral:rRNA from 1 species